rnacentral:rRNA from 1 species
CACGUAGUUAGCCGGGGCUUUCUCGUGAGGUACCGUCACCGCGCCGCCCUCUUCGAACGGCGCUCCUUCGUCCCUCACAACAGAGCUUUACGACCCGAAGGCCUUCUUCGCUCACGCGGCGCCGCUCCGUCAGGCUUUCGCCCAUUGCGGAAGAUUCCCUACUGCUGCCUCCCGUAGGAGUCUGGGCCGUGUCUCAGUCCCAGUGUGGCCGGUCACCCUCUCAGGCCGGCUACGCAUCGUCGCCUUGGUGAGCCGUUACCUCACCAACUAGCUAAUGCGCCGCGGGCCCAUCCGCAAGUGACAGCCCAAAGGCCGCCUUUCAACCGAAGACCAUGCGGUCUUCGGUGUUAUCCGGUAUUAGCUCCGGUUUCCCGGAGUUAUCCCGGUCUUGCGGGCAGGUUGCCCACGUGUUACUCACCCGUCGCCGCUGACCAAACAGAGCAAGCCCUCGUCGGUCCGCUCGACUUGCAUGUAUUAGGCACGCCGCAGCGUCUCUCGAGUCCGACGACGUCAACUACUCUACG